UUUACGGGAGGCAGCAGUGGGGAAUAUUGCACAAUGGGGGAAACCCUGAUGCAGCCAUGCCGCGUGUGUGAAGAAGGCCUUCGGGUUGUAAAGCACUUUCAGCGAGGAGGAAAGGUGAGUAGUUAAUAACUGCUCGCUGUGACGUUACUCGCAGAAGAAGCACCGGCUAACUCCGUGCCAGCAGCCGCGGUAAU
rnacentral:rRNA from 1 species